rnacentral:lncRNA from 10 species
GCAAGUGCACAGACUUGAAAGCUGGUCGAAUCUGUUUUGAAAUCUCCAAGGAGAGGGUUUUUCCCCCUUUUUUUCACUCCAAAGCACUAUCUGUGGCGAUCAGACUGAGCAGGGUUGCCAGCAAAUGCAGGAGGCCCCUUCUAGGGUACAGGCUUUCAAACCAGCGAAGCUAGAGGGAAUGGAUUUAAGGACACACAGCAGGAGCUGGCUGGAUUCAUUUUAUUUUGACGGGGGUAGUUGGGGGAGGAAUAUCAUUUCUGAAAUGCCCAAGGAAUGAAGGGAGAGGAUAUGGAUUUCUUAAACAGUUUUUUGCAAGAGGAGCGGUGUCUUGUUCUGCAGAUGGAAACACCAAAGCACAGAGUCAAGCGACUAAGUUCAUUCGCCUGGAAAAGAACUGCGCGUUUCCAGAGCUCUCACUCAUGGUCACCAUACUGCACUGCCUUUUCAUGAAGGGUGUAAAUACACGCCAUGAUUUGACUCCCAGCAUGACAAAACCAGACUUUUCCUGCAUCAGGCUCAGCCAAGGCUAGACCUGAAAGCAAUGCAUGGCCACAGCAAAAUGUUCUGUGACUUUCCAUCCAGCAUGAGUUCUCCUGAGAAUGGAACAGGACCAAAGUGGAUUCCCCGUGGGAAAAGGGCAGAAGAUCAGGUGUCCAAAGGGAUCUUUGCUGGCCCAGGAGGAAGAGUGUUUUAUUGGGGUAGCAGCACCCACUUCCUAGUGCACAAAUCUCCUACUCAUAUGCCCAAAGCAUACUAUAGCUUGUUAGGAAAAAAAAAAUCACAUGACACUCAGCUGGAGUCAUAACCAGCACCUUGAACAUUCCUUUCUCUUUCUAGAGGUCUUCCCUCCACCCCAGACUGUGAGCCACUUAAUGGGGUAGACCUUCCCUUAUUUAGCUGUAUGUCCCUAGGGCCUAGAACAGAGCCGGGACAACAAAAUAGGAGCCACAGUAAAUGUUUGUAGAACUAAACAGGAAUAGAGGCCAUGUGUAAGGGAUUUCCUCUGCUGAGGGUGGCAUCUGUGGCUCCUGCUGGAUCAGGCCACCAUGACAUGAGCCUGUGCUUCACUUCAUGUGCCUUCAACCUGCCCCUGGCAACCGCCUCUCUGGCUGGACCCCAUACAAUUUAUUCAGCCCCAGCUCAUACCCUACGUUCCAUACAAAUCCUGGCAGCCAGAUGAGGAAAUUGGAGCGACUCCUGAGUCAUUUAAGCUCUGCUGUCAGAAUGAUUCUCGUCUGCCUAACUGCACCAGCACCCGGGCAUUUGAACUGGAUGAAAGGGUUUGGUGAGGGGAUUAUCCAGAAGGGAAAUAAAAGACUUUACUUAGCACCUAUUAAACUUGAAUCUCCGUUUCACUCAUCAGUAUGUGAGCCUUAGAACCAGCCAUGGAAUUAGCAUGUGGGUGAAAGGAAAAGGGCUCAGAGAUGACUGAAGCCUCAUCAUGAAUCUGAGGGAUAAUCCUUAAAGGUUAUGUCAACAGCCAU